GAGACCUCAGGUCAGCCGGGGCUACCCGC
rnacentral:rRNA from 1 species